rnacentral:rRNA from 1 species
GACGGACGCUGGCGGCGUGCUUAACACAUGCAAGUCGAACGAAGUGGCGAACGGGUGAGUAACGCGUAAUCAACCUGCCCUUCAGAGGGGGACAACAGUUGGAAACGACUGCUAAUACCGCAUACUGAAGGAGGGGAUUGCGUCUGAUUGGCUAGGUGGAGGGGGAACGGCCCACCAAGGCGAUGAUCAGUAGCCGGUCGGGGGGGAGGGACGGACACAAUGGGAAUGGGACACGGGCCCGACCUCUACGGGAGGCAGCAGUGGGGAAUCUUUCGCAAAGGACGAAAGUCUGACGGAGCAACGCCGCGUGAGUGAUGACGGCCUUCGGGUUGUAAAGCUCUGUUAAUCGGGACGCGGUACCGGAAUAGAAAGCCACGGCUAACUACGUGCCAGCAGCCGCGGUAAUAC